UUAACCAAUGGCCCAUUAUGCAUCCCGGUCGUCGUGUGUGUGUGUAUCUCAUUUCACCUGAUGUCGUCAUGCCGAGAUUCAAGUUGGAAAACAGAAGACCACCACAUCCUCUCUCUCUCUCUUUUUUUCUUGGAAAAUUGAGUUAGUUCCAUUGUCCAUCCGUCCCCAGAAAGAGAAACAUGCUACAGAUAUUCGACUUAAGUCAUUAAAAAUUUAGGGGGGCUCGCGACUUGAGAAUGGACCCAUUUUGGCAGCUACAACCGACCAGCAACAGUUCAAUAAAAGAAAGUUAAGAUUAUUGAGUCGUCAAGAUCGACACUACACACUCAAGAUAACUAGCAGCCGCGUAAACCGAGGGAAGGGCCGCGUUCACCGCGAUGCACGAUAUAAUUCCCGAUUGGCUUGCUGACAAUCCAUCGGUAGCUGGUCGAUGUCGACAUACAAAAUGAACAUGAUUACGUAUACAACAAUGUAUCAAAAAAACUUUCGUUUAACCGAACUGAAUUAUUAUUCUCACAUU